CGCCCUUAGAGUUUGAUCCUGGCUCAGGACGAACGCUGGCGGCGUGCUUAACACAUGCAAGUCGAACGGAAAGGCCCUGCUUUUGUGGGGUGCUCGAGUGGCGAACGGGUGAGUAACACGUGAGUAACCUGCCCUUGACUUUGGGAUAACUUCAGGAAACUGGGGCUAAUACCGGAUAGGAGCUCCUGCUGCAUGGUGGGGGUUGGAAAGUUUCGGCGGUUGGGGAUGGACUCGCGGCUUAUCAGCUUGUUGGUGGGGUAGUGGCUUACCAAGGCUUUGACGGGUAGCCGGCCUGAGAGGGUGACCGGCCACAUUGGGACUGAGAUACGGCCCAGACUCCUACGGGAGGCAGCAGUGGGGAAUAUUGCACAAUGGGCGGAAGCCUGAUGCAGCAACGCCGCGUGCGGGAUGACGGCCUUCGGGUUGUAAACCGCUUUCGCCUGUGACGAAGCGUGAGUGACGGUAAUGGGUAAAGAAGCACCGGCUAACUACGUGCCAGCAGCCGCGGUGAUACGUAGGGUGCGAGCGUUGUCCGGAUUUAUUGGGCGUAAAGGGCUCGUAGGUGGUUGAUCGCGUCGGAAGUGUAAUCUUGGGGCUUAACCCUGAGCGUGCUUUCGAUACGGGUUGACUUGAGGAAGGUAGGGGAGAAUGGAAUUCCUGGUGGAGCGGUGGAAUGCGCAGAUAUCAGGAGGAACACCAGUGGCGAAGGCGGUUCUCUGGGCCUUUCCUGACGCUGAGGAGCGAAAGCGUGGGGAGCGAACAGGCUUAGAUACCCUGGUAGUCCACGCUGUAAACGGUGGGUACUAGGUGUGGGGUCCAUUCCACGGGUUCCGUGCCGUAGCUAACGCUUUAAGUACCCCGCCUGGGGAGUACGGCCGCAAGGCUAAAACUCAAAGGAAUUGACGGGGCCCCGCACAAGCGGCGGAGCAUGCGGAUUAAUUCGAUGCAACGCGUAGAACCUUACCUGGGUUUGACAUGGAUCGGGAGUGCUCAGAGAUGGGUGUGCCUCUUUUGGGGUCGGUUCACAGGUGGUGCAUGGCUGUCGUCAGCUCGUGUCGUGAGAUGUUGGGUUAAGUCCCGCAACGAGCGCAACCCUUGUUCACUGUUGCCAGCACGUUAUGGUGGGGACUCAGUGGAGACCGCCGGGGUCAACUCGGAGGAAGGUGGGGAUGACGUCAAGUCAUCAUGCCCCUUAUGUCCAGGGCUUCACGCAUGCUACAAUGGCUGGUACAGAGAGUGGCGAGCCUGUGAGGGUGAGCGAAUCUCGGAAAGCCGGUCUCAGUUCGGAUUGGGGUCUGCAACUCGACCUCAUGAAGUCGGAGUCGCUAGUAAUCGCAGAUCAGCAACGCUGCGGUGAAUACGUUCCCGGGGCUUGUACACACCGCCCGUCAAGUCAUGAAAGUUGGUAACACCCGAAGCCGGUGGCCUAACCGUUGUGGGGGAGCCGUCGAAGGUGGGACUGGUGAUUAGGACUAAGUCGUAACAAGGUAACCGUAAAGGG
rnacentral:rRNA from 1 species